rnacentral:rRNA from 1 species
ACACAUGCAAGUCGAACGGUAACAGGAAGCAGCUUGCUGCUUCGCUGACGAGUGGCGGACGGGUGAGUAAUGUCUGGGAAACUGCCUGAUGGAGGGGGAUAACUACUGGAAACGGUGGCUAAUACCGCAUAACGUCGCAAGACCAAAGAGGGGGACCUUCGGGCCUCUUGCCAUCAGAUGUGCCCAGAUGGGAUUAGCUWGUUGGUGAGGUAACGGCUCACCAAGGCGACGAUCCCUAGCUGGUCUGAGAGGAUGACCAGCCACACUGGAACUGAGACACGGUCCAGACUCCUACGGGAGGCAGCAGUGGGGAAUAUUGCACAAUGGGCGCAAGCCUGAUGCAGCCAUGCCGCGUGUAUGAAGAAGGCCUUCGGGUUGUAAAGUACUUUCAGCGGGGAGGAAGGUGUUGYGGUUAAUAACCGCAGCAAUUGACGUUACCCGCAGAAGAAGCACCGGCUAACUCCGUGC